UGGGGAAUUUUGGACAAUGGGCGAAAGCCUGAUCCAGCCAUGCCGCGUGAGUGAAGAAGGCCUUCGGGUUGUAAAGCUCUUUUAGUCGGAAAGAAAGAGUUGCAAUGAAUAAUUGUGAUUUAUGACGGUACCGACAGAAAAAGCACCGGCUAACUACGUGCCAGCAGCCGCGGUAAUACAGAGGUCUCAAGCGUUGUUCGGAAUCACUGGGCGUAAAGGGUGCGCAGGCGGUCUUGCAAGUCAGAUGUGAAAGCCCCGGGCUUAACCUGGGAAUUGCGUUUGAAACUACAAGGCUAGAGUGCAGCAGAGGGGAGUGGAAUUCCAUGUGUAGCAGUGAAAUGCGUAGAGAUGUGGAAGAACACCGAUGGCGAAGGCAGCUCCCUGGGUUGACACUGACGCUCAUGCACGAAAGCGUGGGGAGCAAACA
rnacentral:rRNA from 1 species